GAAGGCCACAUCUGGAGCCAGAGCAGUGUUGAAGGGAUCACAGCUGGCAGCUAAGACUGUGCAGACCCUCGAGCAGUUGGCCAGAGAUCAGUCCCAGAGCUGAGCUACAGAAAAGAUCUGAGGGGCAGCUGCUACUUCACAAUGACUGAAACAUCCUGUCUUUUCUGGAUUAUGUCUCCUACUGGUGUUAGUGUAUCCUAGCAUUCAGG
rnacentral:lncRNA from 1 species